AUGAAUAUCAUAUGCUGGAACUGUCGAGGCCUGGGGUCGGACUCGACAGUUGGCGAGCUUUGCUGGCUUGUGAAGCUCUAUCGACCCUCCCUCCUCUUUCUUUCUAAAACUAAGAUGAGGGAUUCGCGUGUGAAGAAUUUCAUGUGGUCAUUGGGUUUCUCUGGUUGCUAUGCUAUCAGCAGUGAGGGACUCAGUGGCGGUCUCGCUUUGUUUUGGACUCAUGCGGCGGAUGUGACAGUUAAGGCAGCCAAUAAGAGGUGCAUUGAUGUUUAG
rnacentral:rRNA from 1 species